UACGUAGGGACCAAGCGUUGUUCGGAUUUACUGGGCGUAAAGGGCGCGUAGGCGGCGUGUUAAGUCACUUGUGAAAUCUCUAAGCUUAACUUAGAACGGUCAAGUGAUACUGACGUGCUAGAGUGCAGGAAGGGGCAACCGGAAUUCUUGGUGUAGCGGUGAAAUGCGUAGAUAUCAAGAGGAACACCUGAGGUGAAGACGGGUUGCUGGGCUGACACUGACGCUGAGGCGCGAAAGCUAGGGGAGCGAACGGG
rnacentral:rRNA from 1 species